rnacentral:rRNA from 1 species
AUUGAACGCUGGCGGAAUGCUUUACACAUGCAAGUCGAACGGCAGCACGAGGGCAACCCUGGUGGCGAGUGGCGAACGGGUGAGUAAUACAUCGGAACGUGCCCAGUCGUGGGGGAUAACGUGGCGAAAGUUACGCUAAUACCGCAUACGAUCUACGGAUGAAAGCGGGGGACCGUAAGGCCUCGCGUGAUUGGAGCGGCCGAUGUCAGAUUAGGUAGUUGGUGAGGUAAAGGCUCACCAAGCCGACGAUCUGUAGCUGGUCUGAGAGGACGACCAGCCACACUGGGACUGAGACACGGCCCAGACUCCUACGGGAGGCAGCAGUGGGGAAUUUUGGACAAUGGGCGCAAGCCUGAUCCAGCCAUUCCGCGUGCAGGACGAAGGCCUUCGGGUUGUAAACUGCUUUUGUACGGAACGAAAAGGCUCUGGUUAAUACCUGGGGCUCAUGACGGUACCGUAAGAAUAAGCACCGGCUAACUACGUGCCAGCAGCCGCCGUAA